rnacentral:rRNA from 1 species
CGGACCGGCGCACGGGUGAGUAACACGUAUGGAACCUGCCCUAUGCAGGGGGAUAAGCGGAAGAAAUUCCGUCUAAUACCGCAUAACACCUUUAGGAGACAUCUUCUUGGGGUCAAAGGAGGCGACUCCGGCAUAGGAUGGCCAUGCGUCGCAUUAGCUAGUCGGCGGGGUAACGGCCCACCGAGGCGACGAUGCGUAGGGGUUCUGAGAGGAAGGCCCCCCACACUGGUACUGAGACACGGACCAGACUCCUACGGGAGGCAGCAG